rnacentral:rRNA from 1 species
GAUGAACGCUGGCGGCGUGCCUAAUACAUGCAAGUCGAGCGAACGGACGAUAAGCGUUCUUCUCUACUGGUAGCGACGGACGGGUGGGUAACAAGUGCAUAACCUUCCCAUAAUACUUGGGGAACUUCGUGGAGCCGGUUCUACUACCGCAUAAUAUUUUGUACCGGAUAGUUCAAAAGUUAUACACGGUCUUGCCGUCACUAUUAGAUGGUGCGGCGCUGGAUUAGCUAGUUGGUAAGGUAAAGGCCCACCAAGGCGACGAUGCGUAGCUGAUCUGAGAGGAUGAUCAGCCACACUGGAACUGAGACACGGUCCAGACUCCUACGGGAGGCAGCAGUGGGGAAUAUUGGACAAUGGGCGCAAGCCUGAUCCAGCCAUACCGCGUGGGUGAAGAAGGCCUUCGGGUUGUAAAGCCCUUUUGUUGGGAAAGAAAAGCAGCAGGUUAAUACCCCGCUGUUCUGACGGUACCCAAAGAAUAAGCACCGGCUAACUUCGUG